UUUUGCCCUAUUAUCUAUUUCAUCACUCCUCUCUUUACUCUCUCGUCUCUCAAUGAACCACCCACCGCCCGCCGCCCCUACUCCGCCGGAAAUCGCCCACCGGCGGGGGACGACCUCCAAUCAACCCCAUUUUUUCUCCAUCUCCUUCUAUCCUCCUCCUCUUUCCAUAUCUCUAACCCAAAUCCUCAAACUCGCUCUCAAACUCCACCAAAUCCGGCCAAAUCCGAAACCCUAGCCUCCAAAAUUUUCUUUCUUUCUUUCUCAAUUUCGUGAUGAAUCAGCGACUCCCCCCACAUAGCCUCACAUGAACAUGUAUAUCUCUAAGAUAUCCACACUUCCCCUUUAAUUUUACCCCCAAAAUCCGUCCCCCACCACUGCCGACCACCCCGCUGCCGCGACCACCCAAGACCACCAGUGCUUCUCCACUCUAGCUUCAUCUCGACUUAAAAGCACUCGUUCCCUUCUAGCAUGACGCCAAAACUUGUUUGUUUUGGCGCCUGCUAAAAGGAAACGUGCGCUUCAAUAUCGGACAGUCACGGCUCGUUGUCCUCGGCAUCUCCUCGUUCGAUUUGGCAUCGACUUCCCUUGUUUGGUAAUCCUUUAAGACUCGUAAUGUAUAUCUUUUCAGCAACGGGAACAACUUGAACCUGCCGCACCAUUUAAUGUGUUUGAUAUGAUGAUAGUUUGACAACAAAAGAGCUUGGAUAUUAUUGUUAUAUAUCAAGCAUGUAAUAACGUGAAUAUAGUCCUUUAUAAUACUUGAAUAUCGAGUUGUAAGUUUUUUAAUGUGAUAUGUAAGUCGUUUCUAGAUUUUUAAGCAUGUUUACAAGCUAUUGUAUCCGAGUAACAAUGCUAAGUAUGCCAUGAAUGACUUUAGGUGUAUAACACAUAGCAUGAUUUCGUUUUA